CGCAUCUUGCGCUCUCUGGUAUUCCGGAGAGCACACCUGUUCGAGUGUCUUGAUAUUAUCAUAUUCUUAAAUUUUCUCUGAAAGUUUGAGUUUAUGGAGUUGGACAUUGCUCUCUGUUCAGGAGUAGCUUGUCUUAAAUAUAUUAGCUCGUCCAUGUCUUGCAGACUUGGUUCUACUUGGCGCGAUUAAAUACUUGACCGCUGAGGACAGUUUUCAACUCUUUUGGGUUGUGGAAUUGGCCAGGACUGCCUUGGAUUGCUUACAAUCGUCUUCUUAGAGGACAUUCAGCAUCAUUUGACCUCGAAUCAGGUGGGAUUACCCGCUGAACUUAA
rnacentral:misc_RNA from 1 species